UACGUAGGGUGCAAGCGUUGUCCGGAAUUAUUGGGCGUAAAGAGCUCGUAGGCGGUUUGUCGCGUCUGCUGUGAAAACUCGGGGCUUAACUCCGGGCCUGCAGUGGGUACGGGCAGACUAGAGUGCGGUAGGGGAGACUGGAAUUCCUGGUGUAGCGGUGAAAUGCGCAGAUAUCAGGAGGAACACCGGUGGCGAAGGCGGGUCUCUGGGCCGUAACUGACGCUGAGGAGCGAAAGCGCGGGGAGCAAACAGG
rnacentral:rRNA from 1 species